rnacentral:lncRNA from 1 species
AAAUUAAUUAAAUACUCUGUGUAACUUUUUCUAACAACACAAUACUAUACGUUUGUUUGGAUGAAAGUGAGGUGGAAGUGGAGAGGAAGUUGUUUUCGCCAUAAACGAUCACUUCUUUUGUUUGAUUUGCCGUAAAAAUUUUAUGGUCGAAACUCGAGUUAAUCUGAAACGGCGUAAUUGACGUGGGCCGACGUCAAUUACGAUAAAAAAAUGUGAAAAAAAAUAAUAAAAUAAUAUACUAGGUAAAGAUAGUUAUAUUUAAAUAUAAUUAAUUAUGAUAAUACUUGCUUCUUUAUUCAUUUUGCAUAUUUAAAAUAUGAUAAAAAUUAAUUAGUUAAAUUUUAAUAUUUUAUUUAAUUAUUUAUUUUGUAUAAUUAAAAUAUAAUAAAAAUUGAUUAAUUAAGUAUUAAUAUUUAUUUUACUUUAUAAUUUUAUUGUUGUAUUACUAAAAUUUAUAUAUAAAAAAAUAAUUUAAUUAUUUUAAAUUAAAUUAUAUUUAUUUUAUUCUAUUUUGUUAAAUUAUUUAUAAAUUAUAGUUUUACAUCAUACACAUAAACUACUAAAGCUUUACUUUUAUAACUACAAAAUAAAGAGUAAAAAAAAUAAAUUUUAUUUUAAUCUAAA